GGUAUAGCUCAGUGGUAGAGAACAUACUUAGUAUGCAUGAGGUCCUAGGUUCAAUCCCCAGUACC
rnacentral:tRNA from 1 species